AACGAACGCUGGCGGCAGGCUUAACACAUGCAAGUCGAACGCCCCGCAAGGGGAGUGGCAGACGGGUGAGUAACGCGUGGGAACAUACCCUUUCCUGCGGAAUAGCUCCGGGAAACUGGAAUUAAUACCGCAUACGCCCUACGGGGGAAAGAUUUAUCGGGAAGGAUUGGCCCGCGUUGGAUUAGCUAGUUGGUGGGGUAAAGGCCUACCAAGGUGACGAUCCAUAGCUGGUCUGAGAGGAUGAUCAGCCACAUUGGGACUGAGACACGGCCCAAACUCCUACGGGAGGCAGCAGUGGGGAAUAUUGGACAAUGGGCGCAAGCCUGAACCAGCCAUGCCGCGUGAGUGAUGAAGGCCUUAGGGUUGUAAAGCUCUUUCACCGAUGAAGAUAAUGACGGUAGUCGGAGAAGAAGCCCCGGCUAACUUCGUGCCAGCAGCCGCGGUAAUAC
rnacentral:rRNA from 1 species